CUAACAUUGCAUUUCACAAGUUUCAAAUUGAGUGUACCAGCUUUGUUGUUUGUGAGAAUGGAGAUUCUUAGAGUUCAGCUUUUCGUCAUGGCCAUUCUCUCUCUUGCUUUGGCUUUCGUUGUUCCUUCCAUCAAUGCUCAGAUCCCUGCACCUGCUCCAGCUCCCACUAGUGAUGGGACAACCUUGGACCAAGGAGUUGCAUGUGUACUGAUGUUGUUGGCUUUGGCUCUUACUUACAUCAUUCAU